GUAAUAUAAUCGAAGUAUUGUAUAAGCACGGCUCUAGCUGUAUAUAUGCGUAUGAACAUGCAUAGAAGCUUUCCUUUAUAUGAACCUAUUAACCUACAUGUGGUGCAUAUAUAAGAUAUAUAACGUGUCAACCAAAGCAAAGAGGUCAUAUACCGAGGAAGUCUACAUAUCGUUUUUGCCAGGCUUUCGAUCGUCAUCAUCAUGGUUGUUACAGUCGAAGUCAUCUACUGCGGUGGAUGAGGGUACGGGAGCCGGUAUCGGCGAUUCCAAUCUGAACUGGAGGAAGACUUCCGCUCCAUUUCAGUAACUGGUUCCUCUACCCCGGGUAUAACUGGGUAUUUUGAGGUUAUAGUCAAUGGUGAAACCGUCCAUUCAAAGAAG